rnacentral:lncRNA from 1 species
UUCUCUCCCACCUUCAUAUAAAAUACCCACUUAUAAAAAUCUUACCUAAGAUUCCAAUUCCUAACAUAAAAAAUCAAAAAAUAUAGCAGCUGCUCCCUUUCCUCGUCAAACGACCAGCGAUGGACCUUCACCCACGGAAAGAUCCCAACGACACACAUACAUAGAAAGGGACGUGACAGUGAGCGAAAAGGGAUUUGAGGAUUAAAAAAGAAAAGAGAUUAAGAGAAUCGGGGAAAAACAGCACAGAGGGGGAUGAGAAUUGAACAAAGAACUGGAGGAAACCGUGGAGUGGAGGAGCAAACUUUAAAAAGGAAACAGGAGCAGCAGUUGGCAAAAAAAAAAAAAAGCGCAGCUAAUUCCUUUUCCGACCAAAAUGCAGUAGCUUUUUACACCAUUGUUUCAGCCAUAAAAACUCCACAAAUCUCCAUUAAAAAAUAGCCCCUUUGCAUACACAAAAUGGCGAAGUCGCCGACGAGAUCCCGUUAGAGUAAUCAACGGUAGAGGUAGCCGUUUCGAGGUUUUCCGUUCGAGGUUCUCAGUGUCGUUUUCGGUCGUGAUUAGCUCUAUUCUGUUCUAGAUCUUUUUGUGUUUUAUUUUCGGGUAAGAAUAUUCUUUUAAAUUGAAAAAUAAAUAUAAUUUCUUUCAAUCAAAUAUUUUCUUGAAGAUGAUAAUUGUAUGUUUAAUUUUGUUGUUUUGCUCCUUUAUUUUGCUUUGUUUGUCUUCAUUAUUAGAAGUUGUUACACGAUGGAGUUACAUUACUGAGAAGUAUG